UGGGGAAUUUUGGACAAUGGGCGAAAGCCUGAUCCAGCAAUGCCGCGUGUGUGAAGAAGGCCUUCGGGUUGUAAAGCACUUUUGUCCGGAAAGAAAUCCUCUGGGUUAAUACCUCGGGGGGAUGACGGUACCGGAAGAAUAAGCACCGGCUAACUACGUGCCAGCAGCCGCGGUAAUACGUAGGGUGCAAGCGUUAAUCGGAAUUACUGGGCGUAAAGCGUGCGCAGGCGGUUUUGUAAGACGGAUGUGAAAUCCCCGGGCUUAACCUGGGAACAGCAUUCGUAACUGCAAGGCUAGAGUAUGGCAGAGGGGGGUAGAAUUCCACGUGGAGCAGUGAAAUGCGUAGAGAUGUGGAGGAAUACCGAUGGCGAAGGCAGCCCCCUGGGCCAAUACUGACGCUCAUGCACGAAAGCGUGGGGAGCAAACA
rnacentral:rRNA from 1 species